rnacentral:lncRNA from 1 species
AUGGUGCCCAUGCCGCAGAUGGGGAGAGUGAGGAGGAGCCAUUCGCCGAAGUCGACAGACGUGCAUAGCAGCGCUGUUCAAACCUGGGCGGUCUGGAACCCUGAUGCACCCGCAAAGCUCCAGGGCCUGGCGGCUGGAGAUGCCCCAGCCUUGAAUGCAUCCAUCGCCGAGCUGGUGGCAGCGACCCCCCUCACUGGCUACCCACAUGCCCCCAGGGACAGCCUCCCUGACACAGCGGCAUGCCUCCUGGCAGGCCCACGGGGGACCUGGGGCCAGGGCUGCUCAGCCUGCCCACGUUCCUUGGAAAGGCUGUCACUGGCUUGGCCAGAUCCUCAUGUUCUCUGCCGGAGUGAAAACCAGCUCGUUCUGUCCAAGCCUGGAACCGGCCCAGGCUUCCAGGAGGAGGCCACGCCUGCCUGCCCUUGGCCAAGGGGAGCCAACAGACCUUCCUGGUUCCAGGGAACCCCAUGCUGUCUGCUUUGCCCGGAGGCCCUGCUCCCUCCCUUAGAGCAGGCUCACAGCCGCCUGGGUGUGGAAGGGGUGGCCGGGCCUCCCUUGGACAACGCUGGCUGGUUCUCUUCUCUGGCUGAGAGUCAGAGCCCGUGCCUGCCCCAACCCAGAAGCUUCCAGGAUGCUCUGCCUGAGCCAGGCCCUGGCCAGGGCCAGCGAAGGCCCCACCCUCCCGGGCAGGCAGGGCAGGGAGCUGAGCCCAGGACGUGGAUCAUGCAGGCUUGGAUUAGCCAAGGGCUGGCCGUGGCUCAGGGCCCUCAUUGGCCUCUCAGAGCCUGUUUCUUUCCUUGUGAGGUGGUGACAGUAGCCCUGAUGUCACAGGAUGGAGCAGGAUCACAUGAACAGCAAGUCCUGGCUCACAGCAGGCACACGCAGGGGUCAGGACGUUGGCCCGCACUCUUCCCUGGGGGAUGGUUGCUCAGGACCCAAGGCUGGCCUCCCUGCUGGCACCAGAACCCAGGGCCCCCUGGGCACAGGCCAGGGAAGGCUGAAAGGAGGGGUAGCCUAGCACAAUCCAGCAUGGACAGCCUCAGUGCCUGCCCCCAGCAGGGUCCCCAGCCCCUACUCCCACACCUUUGCUGGGCAGCAGGUCCCCCCACAGGAGUUCAAAGGCUGAUGGCCUUCCCUGAGGGUGCAAGGCUGGUUUUUGCAGAGUCCAGGUUGAGUGCUGGUGGCUUUGGGCAGUGGCUGGGGGCCCUGCAGAUGCUCUGUGGACACAGCCCAGUGGGCAGCACAGAGCCAGACCCUGCCCUGCCCUGCCCUGCCCCGCCUCGCCCCAUCCCACCUUGCCCUGCCAUCCCCAGGGUAAGGUCCCGCAGGCCACAGCCUCCUUGCCUAUAG